rnacentral:misc_RNA from 1 species
UAUAAUUCGGUUCAUUCCUGCCCUGCAUUUGAAUAAUGACACUAGCGAGUCUGCUCCUCCCAGAGAAUCGCUCUAGCCGAGACCUUCCCUUUCUGCACGGGAUGUUACAAAAAGACUAUGCACAGAUCCCACUCAGAGGUGGGGAUGGGGAACCCACAUUUGGGUUGGGGAAGAAGUGCCCCUUCUUGGCAGCCCUCCCUUGUCGGGAAGGGGUAGGGACGGCCACGGAAACCAUCAGACAAGAGACUCUUGUUUGAAGACCCAAACACAAAACAUGUAGACUUUCUCAACUAACUAGAGAGAGAAAAUAAAAGUUGGUUGAGCUUGUUGAACUUAAUGCAUCUUCUUUGUUUACAAGCAAUAUGAAUUAGAAAUUGAUGUACUAGGAAAGAUUGUGCUACAUAGAACAUAAUUACUUGGAACGAGGUAUGUAGUGGGCUGUGGUAUGGAAAUGAAAAUGCGAUGUGUCAAUUAUUUAUCGAGUACUUUAGGGGUAGGCCUUAUUGGUUGGCUCUUUAAGAACGCAGUAGGUUUUAAUUGUGUUUUGGGUUUG